rnacentral:rRNA from 1 species
UACGUAGGGGGCGAGCGUUGUCCGGAUUUAUUGGGCGUAAAGAGCUCGUAGGCGGCUUGGCAAGUCGGGUGUGAAACCUCCAGGCUCAACCUGGAGACGCCACUCGAUACUGCCAUGGCUAGAGUCCGGUAGGGGACCACGGAAUUCCUGGUGUAGCGGUGAAAUGCGUAGAUAUGCGGAGGAACACCGAUGGCGAAGGCAAUCCCCUGGACCUGUACUGACGCUCAUGCACGAAAGCGUGGGGAGCAAACAGG